rnacentral:lncRNA from 13 species
AACUCUGGUUUCAACUGGACCCGGGUGAGAUUCAGUAGGAUUGGGAUCAUCUCUGGGUUCAACUGGACCGGGGUUACGAUUCAGUAGGAUUGGGAUCAACUCUGGGUUCAACUGGACCGGGGUUACGAUUCAGUAGGAUUGGGAUCAACUCUGGGUUCAACUGGACCGGGGUGAGAUUCAGUAGGAUUGGGUUCAACUCUGGUUUCAACUGGACUGGGUUACGAUUCAGUAGGAUUGGGAUCAACUCUGGUUUCAACUGGACUGGGUUACGAUUCAGUAGGAUUGGGAUCAAAUCUGGU